rnacentral:lncRNA from 1 species
UUAAUUCAUACCCGCUAGCUGGAACAAAACAACAAUGUAUUCAUUUCUUUUUUUUAGUUGCCACUAGUGGUGCAUUAGUUUACAAAACAAGUGCACCUUCCUUCUUUUCAUUGGUUCCACUCACAAGCCACCUCACACUUAGUUCCUUAUUACUACUUUCAGAACUCAUCUCACAAUUAAAGUGCUUUAAGAGGUCAAAGCAUUAUAACAAUGUCAAUUAAGAACAAAAGGGCAUAGGCUUGUAAUACGGGUGCCAAACAAAAAGUCUAUAGGCUCAAAAGGGGUAACUGGGGAUAAAUUUUUAUUUGUGAUAAGCAGUAAAUCACAAAAAGAACAAAAACAGCCUAAUUUAUUUUUCAAACCGAGCAUUACCUAAAAUUUUGCUUCAACUCACACACCUGGCAAGUUCUAGACACAAGUACAAUACAUGGACUAUACAAAAGCCUCACCACAUAUGGCAUAUGACUCAUUCCAGAUCAGCUCAUCAAGACGCUCCAUUAUGAGUGUUCAAGUUAGUAACAAACAUACAGAUUAAGGCACUUUAGUGAGAUUCAACAAAUAAAACUAAG